UCCCCAAUCCCUCCAUAUGUGGUUUCUUUAUCUUGAAUUCCCCUAUCAAAGUUGAGGGUUGAGGUCCGAGAAACAAAAAGAAGAGAAAAAAGCACAUGAAGUAGCCAGUCAUUCGUCGGUUUUGGCAAGCGCCUAAUUAACAGAGAUGAUGGAUGGCUACCACUUCCCAACUCUGGAUUUUUUUUUUUCCCAUCAUUUUCCCAUUCAAGAAGAAGAUAAAAGGAGAUGCAGGGGUAAUUUGAGGGAAUUGGAAGCCAAACAAAAAAACAAAAACAUGGGUUGGUGGUGCAUCGGGACCGUGGACCUUGGUUUUUGGCAUUUGAUGUACUUGACCAAUUGCGUGUACGACUCGACUCGACGGCGUCGUGCAAUCGUGUAGUGCAGCAGUUGUUGUACUGUACCACAAAAUUCUGCCAGCUCGAAACCAACGCCUUUGAGGAACAUCACGUCUGCUUGCUGACCAAAGCCAAAAAGCAAAGAAACGGUAAAAGGGACAGAGUCGUCCUCUCCUCUCCUCUCCUGGUGACGACUCGCUCGCGCGGGCGCGCCAACCGCUUGCGAUUUACGAUCCCCUCCCAUUUCCAGUCUUUUGUUGCAUUUUUGCACAGCUGCAAAAAUGCUGGAGUCGUACGCACGUGCCAGGGAAAUCGGAUUUUUUUGGGGGGCCAAAGACACUGCUGCCUUCGAUCCACGUGGGAACCCCUCUGCACGAACAUGUGUCCAAAAAGCACUAUAUCUUUUCUCUCUCUCUCUCUCUCUCUCUCUCUCUUUUUUUUUUGUUCCUCUACCGAAACUGUUGGUGCUAAAUUGUAAGUAUUAAUUGUAAGUAUUGUGCGCGUAAUUUCUUGCAACAUUUUUAAUCCUCCAAAAUCAAUAAAUACUAAAAGUUACUUACAAAUAAAAAUUUUAACAACUAUCACUAAUUAUAAUCAAAA